AGUUUUGUGCAGUGGCAGUAUCGUAACCAAUGAGGUUUAUCUGAGGCACGAUUAUUGCUAUGCUGUGCACUAUACUGUGAAAAUGAGGGGAAAGGAAAUGGGUGUGUACACUCUCAUGUG
rnacentral:snRNA from 12 species